rnacentral:rRNA from 1 species
GACGAACGCUGGCGGCGUGCCUAAUACAUGCAAGUAGAACGCUGAAGAGACGAGCUUGCUCUUCUUGGAUGAGUUGCGAACGGGUGAGUAACGCGUAGGUAACCUGCCUUGUAGCGGGGGAUAACUAUUGGAAACGAUAGCUAAUACCGCAUAACAAUGGAUGACACAUGUCAUUUAUUUGAAAGGGGCAAUUGCUCCACUACAAGAUGGACCUGCGUUGUAUUAGCUAGUAGGUGAGGUAAUGGCUCACCUAGGCGACGAUACAUAGCCGACCUGGGAGGGUGAUCGGCCACACUGGGACUGAGACACGGCCCAGACUCCUACGGGAGGCAGCAGUAGGGAAUCUUCGGCAAUGGGGGCAACCCUGACCGAGCAACGCCGCGUGAGUGAAGAAGGUUCUCGGAUCGUAAAGCUCUGUUGUAAGUCAAGAACGGGUGUGAGAGUGGAAAGUUCACACUGUGACGGUAGCUUACCAGAAAGGGACGGCUAACUACGUG